rnacentral:rRNA from 1 species
AAUUGGAGGGCAAGUCUGGUGCCAGCAGCCGCGGUAAUUCCAGCUCCAAUAGCGUAUAUUAAAGUUGUUGCAGUUAAAAAGCUCGUAGUUGAAUUCCGGGAUCGAUGGGUCGGUCAUGCCCUCGGUAUGUACUGGCCUCAUUGGUUCUCACCUUCUAAGGAACCAUGAUGUCAUUCGGUUGAUGUUGUGGGGAAUUAGGACUGUUACCUUGAAAAAAUUAGAGUGUUUAAAGCAGGCCAACGCUUGAAUACAUUAGCAUGGAAUAAUGAAAUAGGACAUCCGAUUCUAUUUUGUUGGUUUCUAGGAUCGAUGUAAUGAUUAAUAGGGAUAGUUGGGGGCAUUAGUAUUCAAUUGUCAGAGGUGAAAUUCUUGGAUUUAUUGAAGACUAACUACUGCGAAAGCAUUUGCCAAGGAUGUUUUCAUUAAUCAAGAACGAAAGUUAGGGGAUCGAAGACGAUCAGAUACCGUCGUAGUCUUAACCAUAAACUAUGCCGACUAGGGAUCGGAUGAUGCUUAUUUUUUAAUGACUCAUUCGGCACCUUACGGGAAACCAAAGUGU